GCCCGAAAACUACAAGCGUAAGCUCAAAACUCAAAGGGUCUGGCGGCACUUUAAACUACCUAGAGGAGCCUGUCCUAUAAUCGAUAACCCCCGUUAAACCUCACCUUCUUUAGCUAUCCGCCUGUAUACCGCCGUCGUCAGCUUACCCCUUAAAGGCCACAUAAGUAAGCAAAACUGAUUAUAUCCAAAACGCCAGGUCGAGGUGCAGCUCAUAAGAAGGAAAGAGAUGGGCUACAUUUCCUAGGAAACACGAAUAAUGCAUUGAAACAUGUAUAUUGAAGGAGGAUUUAGCAGUAAGUAAAAAAUAGAGCGUUUUACUGAAAAAGGCCUUAAAGUGCGUAC
rnacentral:rRNA from 1 species